CAGAACACGCACGAGUCCCGCUCGACCUCACGACAUGCGCGCCACGGUAGCCUAGGGUUUGGCCGCCGUCGGCCGAUGCCGCCCCUGCCUCUGUGGCUCACUCCGGCGACACUCCACAUACGACAGAUGUGAUGCCCAUAAUGAGUAUGUACUUCCAGUGCUACGACUGGAGGUGGCACGAACACAAGCAGACCCGGUUGAAAAUGAGGACAAUGAAGAUAGCAUGACAAUAUUCGUAGUAGGGUAGCUCAUGCUUGUCUAGCAAUGGCAACAUAAGUUUAGCUAUGUCGGUGGAGAUCAUCCUCAUGUGAACCAUACCGUGUUUUGUAUGAUGCAUAUCUUUGUAAUAAUAUUAUAGGAUCACUAUCUAUUUAAAUGUAUGCAACAUCAAAGUAUAGUUGUUCAAUUGUAUAUGUGUUAGCUAUAAAUCGCUUACAUUGUCAUACUUUUUCUGUGUAAAAUGAUCGUCCAAUUCCCUACAAAUGUACAUGUUACUACUUUACAGUAAAUUAGCAUAUAAACAUAUUCACUCAAGUGCCAGGGGCAUUCACAACCAAAUCUGCAGUUUUAUGGUAACAGACUCCAGCUCAGCAUUUUCACAGCAGCUCAACCCAUUAAGCUGCGUGUGGUCACGGCAUGUAAACUUUUGGAAUUUUUUAGAUGAAGGCAUGGAUUAUUUUUGUAAAUGUAUUUUCUCUACAUGGAGGUGAGGACCUCUGGUAUUUUCUAAAUGAAGGGUUGAUAGACUGCAGUGAUAUUUUUUUUUCUUUUACUUUGUGAAGGUGAGGAUAUUUUUAGACACGAGGACUCUAUGUAUCUUUUUAAAAUGCAAACAUGCACAUACCGUCCUCUCAAGCGGCGGCGCCACAGGUGACGCCCACUUUAAACAAAGGAGAAUUUUUUUGGAAGAGACGCACAUACAUCUUAUAAGUGCACCUAAAAACAGAUUAGGAGGGCUUUGAUUUUAGAGUCGUGCGUCGUCCUCAGGGCAGUAGCUAGAUGCUUUUUUUUUUCCUUCUAUUGUACGCUGCUCACCGAAAAGAAUUAAACCCAUCAGUAUCGCGCCUCCACCUCGUCUCGGUGUCUAAAAGACGAUGCCAAUGGCUAUUCCCCUCCUGCUUUCGUACCGCUAAUUUAGGUUGUCAUGACAAUUCCCGAUUUUAAGGGUACGAAAGGCUAUGGAAAAACCAAAUAGUGCAGAACUUAGAAACAGAGCUUCAAAUUUUGACAUUUUAUGGAGCCAUAAAUAUAUGCACACCGAUAACUGAAGAAAGAAAAGGACAUAAAAAAACAUCAAAGCAUUAAAACAAUAAUCAGCACACAUCGAGGACUACUUCAAUCAUUCGAAUUCCAGGUAACACAGGCACAUAGCAAAUAGUUCAACAGACAUGCCUGGAGGUUCAGCCACAGAACGAAGGUAGCAAAAUUUGACGGUGCAAACAGAUACUAUCAAGGUAAGCAUAGGGCAGGUUCCACAGAACAUAACAGCACAUAAGCUUAACGGUAGCGGCGGAGGGA